CGCACGUCUAGGGUGCAUGGCCCGAAAAGCCCGAUUCCUGGCGGGCCUGACGUGCGGUCUUUCCCAGGA
rnacentral:ncRNA from 16 species